rnacentral:lncRNA from 1 species
UAAAAUGCAGAAAAACCUCCCUAUAUAUACCGAAUUUUUCACUUUCCACCUCGAACUUCUAAAAACUUAUAUUUUACCAUCUUAUAAUUUCAGAAAUAUUUUCAAGGGAUUACGACGGCGUUAAUGGAGAGAGCGAAAUGAUCAAAUUACUCUAACUUAUUCUGUGAGAAAAAAAUAUUUUUUUAAUAUAUUUUUGUUAUUCUUUAGGUAUAUUUUUAAAUAAAUUAUAAGAAAUGGACGGAAUAGUAACUAAAUCUUGACGGAGGGGGCCUAAAUACAUCAUCUUAAAAUUUUGACGUAGUAAAAUUUAAGUUUUUGAAAGUCAGGUAAAGAAAGUGAAAAGAUGAAUAUUUGUAGGGUGUUUUUUGUAUUUUAGUCUUAAUUUUUUUCUUUUGUUGAAAAUCCCAUUAUCUUCCAAUUUAUUAAUCGACUAUAUAACCUUUCAAAAUUUUGAUUUUAAUAUUCAACCCUUCAAUUUAUUUGAUUUAAGUAAUUUGAUAACCCUUCGAAUAUAAAAUUUAUGCUAAUUAUUUAUUUUAAUAAAUUUAUAGUUACAUAAAUUGUAUAAAAUAUGCUAACUAAAUCCAUAAAGAAAAACGACACAUCCAAAUUUUAAAGUUAAAGAAAUUAUUAACCAGCUCAAAUUAAAUAAAUUGAAACAUUAGAUAAUAAAAUUAAAAUUUUUAAAGAUUAAGUAGUCACAUCAAAAUCGGUGAUAGGCGAGAUAAUUUUAAAUUUAUUUUUUAAAAAUUUAAUUAGUUGCUUUAUGUGCUAGUUUUAUUUGCUAAAAAUUAAUUGAAAACAUUAAAUUCGACAAAAAUUGCUCAAGGAUUCAAUAAAAAAAUUGCUCAUGAUUUUUAGAUGAGUCCUAAGGCUUAACACAAUUUGAAAAAAGGUCUCCAACAUUUCGUAUUUUCAUUUAAGUUCUUAUUAUUUUAAGUUUUGGGGCUUUUUUUUAAUCCUCGGUACUACUAUUAAAAAUUUUUAAAUUUAUCCUUCAAUACCCAAAAUACCCUUAUGAAAUUCAAUCCCAUUAUUAAACCCUAGAAGGAAAGGGCAUAUUUAAAGAAAGGGUUAAUUGCAGACAGAUCCCUGCUAACAUUAUGAAUUACAAAUACGUCCCUACAAAGUUUAAUUUUCAUAUGUUAUUUCUGCAAAAGUCCUAAUAUUUUCAAAUAUGCCUCUAUGGUUUGUUACUGUUAAAACACUAUUUAUUUUACAAGUGAAAUGACAUUUUUGCCAUCACAAAUAUAUCUUUCCAAAAAUUACGACUGUUAAUUGAAGAGGGGUAAAAAUGUUAAUUCAUCUCAUUAAGUAACUAGGGUUAAGUAUUUUACCUAUACUUAACUAACUUUUUCUAACGAAUUUUAACGGCAAAGACAUAUUUGAAAACAUCACAACUUCUAUAGAAACAAUAUAUGAAAGUUAAACUUUGUAGGAAUAUAUUUGUAAUUCAGUAUGUUUGUAGGGA